rnacentral:lncRNA from 1 species
UGUAUAUUUAUAUUUAUAUAUGUUUUAAUACCAAAGGAACUGAAGCUUUACUAACUGGAGGGCAAAAAACAAUCUACUUUUCUUUUUUCUUUCUGCCUUUUCUAGGGUCUUUCUCUAACUCUGGCAGCAGAUGCUACAAGAUCACCAGUGAUGACUAAGAAUUUUGCUGCUUUAUUGCUGAAAGGGGCUGAAGCAUUUAGAUGUGAGGCAGCUGAUCCGGCCAAACCCCACUAUAUCUGUUAGUCAAUGUAACAGCAAAAGUGGCCUCCAUGGGAGAAAAUGGUGGAUGGUGUAGCAAGUUACUGGGUCUCGAAAGGAGCCAUGGCCACUAAGAGUCUCAGCAGUGAACUGAUGUGUUUGGAAGGUGGUAUCACAAUGUGGGGCUGAGCUGAUGAAACGACAGCUAAUGCCGACGCCUGCCAAUGAUGGGAAGAGAACACAGACCUCAAACUUGGGAUCACUGGCCUUUUAUUAGUUCCAUUGGUUUUGAAACUGGAAGGGCUGGAGCACAGCACUUUGCAUCCAGUGGCAGAGGAUCUUAACCCCGAGGUGGUCAUUAUCUUGCUGCAGCUGACUCAU